rnacentral:rRNA from 1 species
CUAUUGGAGUUCGAUUAAGCCAUGCGAGUCUAAGGGAUCUUCGGAUCCCUGGCGUAAUGCUCAGUAACACGUGGAUAAUCUACCCUCAGGUGGGGCAUAAACCCGGGAAACUGGGGCCAAUUCCCCAUAGAUACAGAUCGCUGGAAUGCCUCUGUAUUCAAAGCUCCGGCGCCUGAGGAUGGGUCUGCGGCCUAUCAGGUUGUAGUCAGGGUCAAGACCUGACUAGCCGGCGACGGGUAUGGGGUGUGAGAGCACUUGCCCAGAGAUGGUUUCUGAGACACGAAACCAGGCCCUACGGGGCGCAGCAGGCGCGAAAACUUCGCAAUGCGGGAAACCGUGACGAGGGAACUCCAAGUGUCUAUGCAUUGCAUAGACUGUUUUUUAGCCUAAAUAGCUAUUAGAGUAAGGGGUGGGCAAGACCGGUGCCAGCCGCCGCGGUAACACCGGCACCCCGAGUGGUAGCCACUAUUAUUGGGCCUAAAGCGUUCGUAGCCGGUUUGGUAAAUUCUUGGGUAAAUCGUACCGCUUAACGGUGCGGAUUCCGGGGACACUACCAGACUUGAGACCGGGGGAGAUCAGAGGUACUUGUGGGGGAGCGGUGAAAUGUUGUAAUCCUGCAGGGACCACCAGUGGCGAAGGCGUCUGAUCAGAACGGCUCUGACGGUGAGGAACGAAACCCUGGGGCGCAAACGGGAUUAGAUACCCCGGUAGUCCAGGGCGUAAACGCUGCUGACUUGGUGUUGGGGAUCCUACGAGGAUGUCCAGUGCUGGCGCGAAGGUAUUAAGUCAGCCGCCUGGGGAGUACGGUCGCAAGACUGAAACUUAAAGGAAUUGGCGGGGGAGCACUGCAACGUGUGGAGCGUGCGGUUU